AAGACUAUACUUUCAGGGAUCAUUUCUAUAGUUUAUAACUUGGAAA
rnacentral:snoRNA from 1 species